GCGAACAGCUCCGUGCUGAGCUCGCUCUAAUGAAACACCAACAGGACUCCCAGUGUAAGGAGGUGGUGGAGAUGCUGGAGCAGGAGGGUCUAGCAGAGAUCAGCCAGAGCAGUGCCAGUGAGCAGGUGGCCUAUCUGCUGGUGGAGAGAGUCACUCUGAUGGAGAGACUGGAGGCUGUGGAAAGAAAACUUGACACCCAGACCCUCACCGGCAACCUCAGAGAGGUGCAUCUUCAGGAAGAGCUGGAUCAUAUGCGUCACACAUUGGAAGAGGAACUCAGGCAGCAAAAGGAAAACAUGAAUAAGGAAUCAUCAGUUCAGAGUCCUUGGAGGAAGUUCUUUGGUGUGCGCAAGGCUACACUAAGAGCACAGAACCUUCCUGACCACAGUGAAGAGUUCAAUAGAGAAUGCACAGUGUGCCAGAGGCUGGAGAGGGAUCUGGAAGAGGCAUCGAGUCGUCUUGCUAUGGCACAUAAAGAGAUUCGCCACCUGACGGAUGAACUAGAUCUCGCUCGUAAGGUCCAAAACGUGUGUGUACCUGACCUGCAGAAAACUGGGGAGGAAGUUGAGCAGUUGAAACAGGAAGUGGACAAGCUUAAACAGUGUGAUAUGGUGGAGCUGCAGAAGGCCAAGGAACGCAAUGAAAGAUUGGAUAGUGACAUUUGUGUUCUAAGGGAUAGAGUUCGCUCCUUGGACACAGAGAGGAGGACUCUUCUUAAACUGGUUGAACAAUCAAAGCUGCACUCAGAUCAAGGGAUCAAAGUGACAUUAGAGCACAAUAAAAUUAAUUCUACACAGGGUGUCGGGAAUAACGUCAAUCCUGAUCCAUCACUGAAUGCAGAGGAUGAGAUACUCCACAAAAGGUGUCGGAGAGAGUCUGAAGAUAAGGACAGCCGUCUGCGAGAGCUGGAGAGGAGGUUGCAGAAGCAGCAGCGGGAACACGAGGAGCUGGUGGAGCGCAAUGAAGAGCUGGAGGCGCUGCUGGGAGAGGCGCAGAACACAGUGAAAGAGGAGCGGGAACGUCAUGAGUGUGUGAUAGAGGGGUUACAGAGAAAGGUGUGUUUUUAGCCAUCGACGUGGGG
rnacentral:lncRNA from 1 species